CCCGCCACACCCGCGAAAAAGAAAACCAUUCUGAGAUAAACCGAAAACGACCGCUCUCGUCUCUCCCCCAGCCUACGCCUCCGCGCUGCCGCGACCCUUCCCCAGCCGCUGCGCCACCGCUCUCUCCCACCUCCCUCUACCUCCCUGCCCCUUCUCCCCUGCUCGCCGCUGAUUCCCUCGGCUAGGGACCACGGCCCCCUACGUUGCGCCUCCCCUGCUCGCCAUCGAUUCCCCCUACACGCCGUCGAUUUCGGCGGCAAGGUCCGACUCCCCCCUGCGCGCCGUCGAUUCCGGCAUCCCAGGCUAAAGCCCCCCCUGCGCGCCGCCGAUUCCGCCGGUGUCCUUGGCUUCGGGGAAGGAGGUUCACGGGAGAGAGAUGGGGUGACAGGAGAGAGAGAGAGAGAGAGAGAGAGAGAGAGAGGGGCAUAAGUGGAACGAGCAAUCAUAUGGUUGCCCCACGUGCAGCCCAACAACUGGCGCCGCGCACGUCGCGUCCCUGCCCAGUCCCGUCGCCAGCGCCGCCCAAGUCGCGUCCCCGUCCAGCCCUACCGGCGGCGGCGCACACUUCUGCGUCUUGAUUUCUUGUAUGAAGUGGGGCCUCCCAGGCCACUGCAGCUGCCGUCGCCGGCAUCUUCUCUUGGUCGACGAAGGUGCCCAACAAUUGCGAUGAGAGGCAGGCUGGUUGCAGACUUGCAGUUCUUCUAAAAUCAAAGAAUCUUUAAUAUUAAAAUGAAACCGGAUGAAGAACUCAGAGGCCGAUGGGGAAAGAACAUGAAGUUAUCUUUUAUAUAGUCCAUCCUGGAGGCUUCACGAUUAUGGUACUAAGUAGGGUUGUUUACAUCUUAAUUAACAUUUGGCAUGCAGAUAUUAUUUCUUUAUAGUUUCCUUUGGAGACCAUGUUUUGUGGGUUAUAUUAUCAGAUAUUGACUACACUUUCGAAUAUCAACUUAACGUGUCUUGGAGUUGUAGUGGGCACUACACUUUCGAAUAUUAACGUGUCUUGGAGUUGUAGUGGGCAAUACCUUUUUAUCCCGGUGAUACUAUCUAUAUACACCAUAAUUUUCAGAAGGAAAAGAUUGUUGUCUUCAGAGAAAGUAGAUUCUAGAGAGAAAAUCUUCAGAAGAAAUCUUUUUUUAAAGGAUGUUUGGUUCUCAUCAAAGAAGACCAAAGAGAUGAUGUUUUGAUGCAUGUUAAUUUUGUUGCUCCGUUGCAACGCAUGGGCAUUUCAUUUGAACUCCUUCCUGAUGAGACUACUACUAACUUCUUCAGCUGAUGCUUCUCCA